UCUGUAUCUCAUGGAUUGGUCUAGGCGUAUGGCGAAAUAGUAUAGACCACAGAGGAAGAUUAAAGGAGGAAUCUCACGCUACCUACGCAUCGCUCUCGCAAAAUCCGUUGUUCUAAGGUUAUGCGGAUCACCGUCUCACUCUCUUCGAAUCCGUGGUUCCAAGGAGGUAUGUUCUUUACAAGGAAACAAAGAGAUAUUUUACAACAACAACUGAAUGAUGCAAAGGAAAAUUUAAAAGCACAGAGUUGUCCUGUUGUUUGCAUGUAUGGUAC